CCUACGGGAGGCAGCAGUGAGGAAUAUUGGUCAAUGGACGAGAGUCUGAACCAGCCAAGUAGCGUGAAGGAUGACUGCCCUAUGGGUUGUAAACUUCUUUUAUAUGGGAAUAAAAUGUUCCACGUGUGGGAUUUUGUAUGUACCAUAUGAAUAAGGAUCGGCUAACUCCGUGCCAGCAGCCGCGGUAAUACGGAGUAUCCGAGCGUUAUCCGGAUUUAUUGGGGUUAAAGGGUGCGUAGGUGGAUUGUUAAGUCAGUUGUGAAAGUUUGCGGGUCAACCGUAAAAUUGCAGUUGAAACUGGCGGUCUUGAGUACAGUAGAGGUGGGCGGAAUUCGGGGUGUAGCGGUGAAAUGCUUAGAUAUAACGAAGAACUCCGAUUGCGAAGGCAGCCCACUGGACUGUAACUGACACUGAGGCUCGAAAGUGUGGGUAGCAAACAGGAUUAGAUACCCGUGUAGUC
rnacentral:rRNA from 1 species